UCUGAGUCCUGGAGAGGAGAGAAGAGCAGCUCCCACCAGUUCAACUUCAACACAAACCAUGUUCCCUGCAUCUCUGCUGCUGUUGGUAACUGCAUCAUGUGUUCAGAGUCAGACAUUGACUGAGUCUGGACCAGUGGUUAAAAAGCCUGGAGAAUCACACCAACUGACCUGUACAGCCUCUGGUUUAGACAUAAAUGGCUACUGGAUGGGUUGGAUCAGACAGGCUCCUGGGAAAGGACUGGAGUGGAUUGCAGCUAUUACUGGCAGUGAUGGUGGCAGCACUUACUACCCCCAGUCAGUUCAGGGUCGGUUCACCAUCUCCAGAGACAACAGCAAGCAGCAGGUGUAUCUCCAGAUGAACAGACUGAAGACUGAAGACUCUGCUGUUUAUUAUUGUGCCAGAGACACAGUGACACAGGAGGCUGCAGCAUCGUACAACAACUGUUCAACACUGAUCUCAGUAUGAGUCUCUAAAAUUAGU